GCGUUGAAACACCGGUUUUCGUACGAUCACCAAAGUAAAGCAACGUCAAGCUUGGUCAUUACCUAAGUGGGUGACCGCUAGGGAAUACUAGGUAUUGUA